rnacentral:rRNA from 1 species
UUAAAGUGGUACGCGAGCUGGGUUUAGAACGUCGUGAGACAGUUCGGUCCCUAUCUGCCGUGGGCGCUGGAGAAUUGAGGGGGGCUGCUCCUAGUACGAGAGGACCGGAGUGGACGCAUCACUGGUGUUCGGGUUGUCAUGCCAAUGGCACUGCCCGGUAGCUAAAUGCGGAAGAGAUAAGUGCUGAAAGCAUCUAAGCACGAAACUUGCCCCGAGAUGAGUUCUCCCUGAGACUAUAAGUCUCCUGAAGGAACGUUGAAGACGACGACGUUGAUAGGCCGGGUGUGUAAGCGCAGCGAUGCGUUGAGCUAACCGGUACUAAUGAACCGUGAGGCUUAACCUUACAACGCCGAAG